AUUGAACGCUGGCGGCAGGCCUAACACAUGCAAGUCGAGCGAGCGGCGGACGGGUGAGUAAUGUAUGGGGACUGCCAGAUGGAGGGGGAUAACUACUGGAAACGGUAGCUAAUACCGCAUACUAUCGGAUAACCCAUAUGGGAUUAGCUUGUAGGUGGGGUAAAGGCUCACCUAGGCGACGAUCCCUAGCUGGUCUGAGAGGAUGAUCAGCCACACUGGGACUGAGAAACGGCCCAGACUCCGACGGAGGCAGCAGUGGGGAAUAUUGCACAAUGGGCGCAAGCCUGAUGCAGCCAUGCCGCGUGUAUGAAGAAGGCCUUAGGGUUGUAAAGUACUUUCAGCGGGGAGGCGUUACCGACAGAAGAAGCACCGGCUAACUCCGUGCCAGCAGCCGCGGUAAUAC
rnacentral:rRNA from 1 species